GGGGGAGAAAUGCUCGGAAAAAAUGGAUGAGGCUCCAGCGAGAGAGACGGGAGGUUUCUCAAGGGUUGUUGCCCCUCUUUUGCCACUACAUGAUCACAAAUUGGGUCAUGUUGAGCCGAUGAUUUCGUCCCCCCAGUUCUUCACCAUCAAUCAACAACAGCCCUUGAAGAACAGGCAGAAAGAUGAAACCAAAAGGAUAAUCGGAGGUUGUUACCAGAAAACGAUCGAGGCUGUGAUGAUACUCUUCUGCAUUUAACAUUUUCCGAGCAUGUUGUUCUGGGCAGUGGGUGAAACUCGGACCGUAUCUUGGCGGGGCAACCCGAAUGGUGUUGCAGCCAUGGCGGUGUUUGAUCCCCUUUGUCUUAUUCCAGAUCUGCAGAUCUGAGCCUCUCAUCCGAAAUUACAAUUUCUGCGUUCAUCCAAAGAAGUUGUUAGAAAGGGAAAAUUUUGGAUUUGUAAUGGAAUCAACUUCCACUCAGAGAACAUGAGGCAGUUACAUAAGGGGGAUGAAGAUGAUGGUUUAAUGGUGGUUAUCCACCUAUGUUCAUACCAAAGUCUGAUUUUGACUUUAUUUGGUCAAACAUCCUUCUUUGUAGCCGAUGAUUUUCUCCAAAAAAACACACAGAUCGACAGUUUCUUCGUUGUUGCUGUUGAUGUUACUA